AAUCAACGCUGGCGGCGUGCCUCAGACAUGCAAGUCGAACGAUUAAGACUUCCUUCGGGAAGUGUAUAAAGUGGCGCACGGGUGAGUAACACGUAAGUAAUCUACCCUCGAGUGGGGAAUAACGUUCGGAAACGAACGCUAAUACCGCAUAACGCAGCGGCACCGCAAGGUGACAGUUGUUAAAGGAGCAAUCCGCUUGA
rnacentral:rRNA from 1 species